AGAGUUUGAUCAUGGCUCAGGAUGAACGCUGGCGGCGUGCCUAAUACAUGCAAGUCGAGCGGUAACACUUCGGGUGACGAGCGGCGGACGGCAGAGUAACGCGUAGGAACGUACCCCAAAGUGAGGAAUAACAGCCCGAAAGGGUAGCUAAUGCCGCAUAACAUCUUAUGAUUAAAGCUACGGCGCUUUGGGAACGGCCUGCGUAUGAUUAGCUAGUUGGUGAGGUAAAAGCCCACCAAGGCGACGAUCAUUAGCUGGUCUGAGAGGAUGAUCAGCCUGACUGGAACUGAGACACGGUCCAGACUCCUACGGGAGGCAGCAGUAGGGAAUUUUCCGCAAUGGGCGAAAGCCUGACGGAGCAACGCCGCGUGCAGGAUGAAGGCUUUCGGGUCGUAAACUGCUUUUCUCUGUGACGAUUUUGACGGUAGCAGAGGAAUAAGGAUCGGCUAACUACGUGCCAGCAGCCGCGGUCAUACGUAGGAUCCGAGCGUUAUCCGGAAUUACUGGGCGUAAAGAGUUGCGUAGGUGGCUUGUUAAGCAGGGUAUGAAAGCGUGUGGCUCAACCAUACAGCUAUACUCUGAACUGGCAAGCUAGAAUAUAGGAGAGGUAGCUGGAAUUCCCAGUGUAGGAGUGAAAUCCGUAGAUAUUGGGAGGAACACCGAUGGCGUAGGCAGGCUACUGGCCUAUUAUUGACACUAAGGCACGAAAGCGUGGGGAGCGACCGGGAUUAGAUACCCCGUUAGUCCACGCCGUAAACGAUGGAUGCUAGCUGUUAUGAGUAUCGACCCUCGUAGUAGCAAAGCUAACGCGUUAAGCAUCCCGCCUGUGGAGUACGAGCGCAAGCUUAAAACAUAAAGGAAUUGACGGGGACCCGCACAAGCGGUGGAGCGUGUUCUUUAAUUCGAAGGUAAACGAAGAACCUUACCAGGGUUUGACAUCCUGAUAGCCGUUUGCCGAAAGGCAAAUUUCAUUUAGUUGGAUCAGUGACAGGUGAUGCAUGGCCGUCGUCAGCUCGUGUCGUGAGAUGUUUGGUUAAGUCCAUCAACGAGCGCAACCCUUAUACUUAGUUGGAUUUUUCUAGGUAGACUGCCCCGGUAACGGGGAGGAAGGGGGGGAUGAUGUCAGGUCAGUAUUUCCCUUACAUCCUGGGCUAGAAACACGCUACAAUGGCCGGUACAAAGGGCUGCCAAGUCGCAAGACGGAGCAAAUCCUAUCAAAGCCGGUCUCAGUUCGGAUAGCAGGCUGAAACCCGCCUGCUUGAAGCCGGAAUCGCUAGUAACGGUAGGUCAGCUAUACUACCGUGAAUACGUUCCCGGGUCUUGUACACACCGCCCGUCAAACCAUGAAAGUCGCCAAUACCUGACGUCUAGUUUUACACUGGCCUAAGGUAGGGGAGAUGAUUGGGGUUAAGUCGUAACAAGGUAGCC
rnacentral:rRNA from 1 species